AGCAGCCGCGGUAAUUCCAGCUCCAAUAGCGUAUAUUAAAGUUGUUGCAGUUAAAAAGCUCGUAGUUGAACUUCGAAAUUUGUUCAUUGGUCGGGCUUAACUGUUUGUACUGGUGUUACGAAUUUCUACCUUCUGAGGGAUCCUUAUGCCAUUAAUUUGGUGUUGGGGGGAAUCAGGACUGUUACUUUGAAAAAUUAGAGUGUUUAAAGCAGGCUAACGUCUGAAUACAUUAGCAUGGAAUAAUAAAAUAGGACGGUUUGGUUCUAUUUUGUUGGUUUCUAGGAUCACCGUAAUGAUUAAUAGGGAUAGUUGGGGGCAUUAGUAUUCAAUUGUCAGAGGUGAAAUUCUUGGAUUUAUUGAAGACUAACUACUGCGAAAGCAUUUGCCAAGGAUGUUUUCAUUAAUCAAGACGAAAGUUAGGGGAUCGAAGACGAUCAGAUACCGUCGUAGUCUUAACCAUAAACUAUGCCGACUAGGGAUCGGACGAAGUUAUUUUAAAUGACUCGUUCGGCACCUUACG
rnacentral:rRNA from 1 species